rnacentral:rRNA from 1 species
AUACGGAGGGUGCAAGCGUUAUUCGGAAUCACUGGGCGUAAAGGACGCGUAGGCGGGUUGGCAAGUCAGAUGUGAAAUCCUACAGCUUAACUGUAGAACUGCAUUUGAAACUGCUAACCUAGAGUAUGGGAGGGGGAGAUGGAAUUAGUGGUGUAGGGGUAAAAUCCGUAGAUAUCACUAGGAAUACCGAAAGCGAAGGCGAUCUCCUGGAGCAUAACUGACGCUAAGGCGUGAAAGCGUGGGGAGCGAACAGGAUUAGAAACCCCAGUAGUCC